rnacentral:lncRNA from 1 species
CUGAUCUGAAGUGAUCUGCCCACCUCGGCUUCCCAAAGUGCUGGGAUUACAGGCGUGAGCCACUGCGCCUGGCCCCUUCAGGUGGGUAUUGAGGCUUCACUACAAUACUAGUUCCCCGUUGCUGCCGCAAUAAAUUACCACACACUUAGUGGCUUAAAACAGCACAGAGGUAUUCCUUUACAUUUCUGAAGGCCAGAAUUCUAAAGUCAGUCCCACUGAGUCAACGUGGGAGCAGGGUCAGUGCCUUCCCAGGCUCUGCGGGAGAAUCUGUUUCCUGGCCCUGGAGGCGGCCUGUACUCCUCAGCUUGUGCUGCCCUUCUCGAAUGACUCGCGUUUCCUGCUUUCAUCACUACACCUCCCACCGCUCUCCAUCACCUGCUCUGCUCUUAUAAGGAUCCAGUUUUCAGAAAAAUGGAAUAGUCGUAUCACUGAUCUACGUAAACAAGUUGAAGAAUUGUCUGAAAGAAAAUACAGUGUGUCUAAACUGGAAAAGUCCUGUAAUAGUUUGUUCAUGAGCAUUUACACAAUGGAGUUGCUGUUUCAUCAUGGGGGUACUGUGGACAAACCCAGGGCUGCUGACAUGAACUUAUGAAUUCAACACAUGAAGAUUUACAGCUUGACAAACCAGCUUCAGGAGACCUCAUGUGUCCCAGGCAGAGUCUCCAUUCCCCUUUUCAGGAGCUCCUCUCAGGGUCUACCAGCUGCCCAAGCCAGAUGCCCAGGAGUUACGCUGAGGUGUGAUUUCCUGCCUUCCCACAUCCAGCCUAGCAAGGCCUCCUGACUCCGCCCUGAACAGAAAGCUCAGAUCCUACCCCAUCCUCCUUCACUGCCCUCCAGCUCUCAGUGGGAGUCAUGCCACAGCGCAGCCAGGGAUUGUGCUGCAUUCGAACAUAGGUUCUGCCAUCAAACACAGAAUGCCCUGAUCCUUAGAGGCAGAGGCAGCUCUUCAGCCUAUGGGGGAGGCAGACCAGUUUUACAAAUAGCUGCUGGCCUGGAGAAUAACAGUUUCUACCAAGUGAGUGGUUAAAAAAGGCAGCCUGGAAAAAUAACUGUGGGAUGGAAUCCUGACUACUCUGUGUCUGAUGACUGGAACUUACCGAGCGCUGCUUAGUUGCAUCAUAGACACCACCUGUCUUUGAACAGCUACCCUGCCUCUUGAUGAGAAUGCAAAGGCUGCCAGGGGCCACUGCUGUAUGGAGUGGAUUUCGGUCAUUUCUGCUUAGAGCACAGAGCUCAAGCUGUUGGACUCGCCGAGGCAGUAAAAGUACCAUAUCCUGUGUUUGAAUCAAACUCCAAUUUCCUGUAUAUAGAAGGCUUGCCAGACAGGAUUCCCUUCCGAAGCCCUACCUGGUUUGGAAUUCCAUGACUUGAAAGGAUCCUUCGUGGGAGUAAUAAAAUCAAGUUUGUUGUUAAAAACUUUGCAGUCCCCAAAAAAACCAUGAAGCCCUGAGAGUAAUGAAAAGCUUCCUGACAUUGAGGUCACUGUGGAAGAACCACCUAAGCUAAAGAUUCUUUUGAGAACAAGGGCUAGCCUGUGGUUUCAUGGCCUUUCUUCCAUUUGGGGUUCUUGCCAAGUGGAAUUUAAAUGACCUCUUAUCAAGAUGGAUAAACCCAAGUUUCCCAGUGCUGGAAUACAGAAAAUGGAUGGACAAGAUGUCUUUUUGUCACUUCCAGCUGGAUCUACCAUGAAAGACGUCAGAGUCCAGGAAGAGAGACUGACUGGGCAACAUGUUAUUCAGAAUUAGAGAAGAUGAUGUGGUGAUGGAAGAAGAGGUCAGAGAGGGAGAUUUGAAGAUGUUGCAGUUCUGGCCUUCAAGAUGGAGUCAGGGGCUAUCUUCAAGAGAGAAGAUCUUGAUCUGUGGCCCAGGCUGCAGUACAGU